CUUGACGACCAUAGCAAGGUGGUCCCACUCCUUCCCAUCCCGAACAGGACAGUGAAACGCCUUUGCGCCGAUGAUAGUGGACGGACGUCUGUGAAAGUAGGUCAUCGUCAAGC
rnacentral:rRNA from 5 species